AGCACAGCGUGCUGCAGAUGUGUGCUUCGUGAGAGGUCGGAUUAGAUCAUCGCCACGGAAAGGAAACACAUUAACUGUGUCUCCUGGAGAUGAAGUCAUCUUGGAGCAUCAGUGCAGUGCUGAAAGACACACGUAGUGAAUUUGCAUCUCAGGGAUAAAGGGAGAAGCCAAAGAAAGAUUUCCCCUGUGAGCUGGCUUUUAUCGUCAGUGCGAACAUCUUAGUCAGCACAGGCUCAGAUUGCCAAAAUUGUGCAGCCGGGUGGUGUGAGUGCUACAGCCCCUGCAGCUUCCUGGUUCCCUGAAUCAGCCAACAAUGAAGGCUCAAGGACCUAGUGCUCCUCUGGCAGGAACUGCUGAGCCCAGGUAAAGUGAAUAUCAGUUUCUGAAACUUGGCAUGUGACUUUGUUCCUCUGGAAUUUGGGAAAACCUCUGCCUAUUUGAUUUUAAACAAUCACCUCAAGACUAGGUCCUGUAGCAUGCUGAGCAUCAGUGGAUAUUGGCUAGAGAACAGAAUUAGCUAGAAUUAGCUGGGAGAAACAUAAUGUUUUGUAGAAUCAUUUCCAUGAUACAGACAUGAUACUUGAGUGGGAUGUUGAAUGUUUAAAUAUUCAAGUUUCCAGGAAGCAAGAAUGUGCAGAUACUCUGUCUGACUCACUAGAAGAAAAAUUACUUCUAGUGACUCAAAGGCUUGGAUGCUGUUGUUUCCCAGUUAAUCACUGGGCUCCACCUUGGGUCCAAAAUCCUCCUUUGAGGAGCAGAGAAAGUUUGUGGCCUUGAGGAUCAUUCCUGCUCUGGUGUAGCUCUCUGGGUGGAAAGAUUAACCUCUUGCUGCCCGUCAGUACCAUCUACAGGCCUAAUUAAUUUCUGGGCUGCUACCGCAAGUGACUUGGCGAACUCCGAAAGCCUGAUGGUGGUAGUUUUGCCUAAAAGAUGGACUUUGGAGGUGACACUUUGUUGGGGUGACAAUGUGAUUUGAGGAAUCCCCACAAAGGUAUAGUGCAGGUUUGGCAGCAAUCUCAGGAUCUAGGGGGCACAGACUCAUGGACAGUCUUUCCUGGGAGGAGACAAUCCAGUGGUGCACUAGAGCUGGGAAACCCGGGGGAACCCCAGAACCCCACCCUUCUUUUGCAAGAGGACAGUAAGAGAUGCCACCCUUUGUCUUGGCAUGGCUGAUUGGCCAGGAAGCUGUUCCCAUUGAGCAAAAGGUGAAAUUUGUAUCUUUCAUAACUUUGUGUUUGAUUUUUGUGUCCUGUGUUUAUUUUGUACUAAAUGGUACGGAAUAUGAAUAUUAUGCAUUGAGAUAGCUCGUCUCCUCUGCCUUAAGCCCAAAGGGUAUAUUGCUGCCACCACAGGAAAACAGUACGACUGUGGAUGGAAAUAAAGAAUGUUUCUUUUCAAAGUUUGUGCUAAUUUUGCACUUAAUUGGUAUGUAAGAAACCUAGCAAAUCAUAAAUAAAAACUGAGUUUUCCCUUUUCCUAAAACUAGCUCUUAAAAUGUAACUUGCCUUAGAUUUGAGUCAAAAAGGCAAGCUUUUGAAAGAGACGAAGCAUGCCCUCAUGUGGCAAUAUUUUUUCCUUAUAAUACCUGUUUGUUUUGUUUCUAAUCCCCAAAUAACCUAUUACAGCGAGUUAUAUCAUGACAUCAGAACUGGCAUACAGAGUGGGUGUUGUGAUACAAAGCUGGCAUACACACAGAAUGUUCGGAAAUAAUUAUAUGGGCUCUAACUCUCUUGUUAA